CCUACGGGAGGCAGCAGUGGGGAAUAUUGCACAAUGGGCGAAAGCCUGAUGCAGCGACGCCGCGUGCGGGAUGACGGCCUUCGGGUUGUAAACCGCUUUCAGUAGGGACGAAGCUUUUGUGACGGUACCUACAGAAGAAGCACCGGCUAACUACGUGCCAGCAGCCGCGGUAAUACGUAGGGUGCGAGCGUUGUCCGGAAUUAUUGGGCGUAAAGAGCUUGUAGGCGGUUUGUCGCGUCUGCUGUGAAAGCCCGGGGCUUAACCCUGGGUCUGCAGUGGGUACGGGCAGGCUAGAGUGUGGUAGGGGAGACUGGAAUUCCUGGUGUAGCGGUGGAAUGCGCAGAUAUCAGGAGGAACACCGAUGGCGAAGGCAGGUCCUGGGCCACUACUGACACUGAGAAGCGGCGUGGGGAGCGAACAGGAUUAGAUACCCUGGUAGUCCACGCCGUAAACGUUGGGCGCUAGGUGUGGGUCCCAUUCCACGGGGUCCGUGCCGCAGCUAACGCAUUAAGCGCCCCGCCUGGGGAGUACGGCCGCAAGGCUAAAACUCAAAGGAAUUGACGGGGGCCCGCACAAGCGGCGGAGCAUGCGGAUUAAUUCGAUGCAACGCGAAGAACCUUACCAAGGCUUGACAUACACCGGAAACUUCCAGAGAUGGGAGCCCCCUUUGUGGCUGGUGUACAGGUGGUGCAUGGUUGUCGUCAGCUCGUGUCGUGAGAUGUUGGGUUAAGUCCCGCAGCGAGCGCAACCCUCGUUCUAUGUUGCCAGCGGUUCGGCCGGGGACUCAUAGGAGACUGCCGGGGUCAACUCGGAGGAAGGUGGGGAUGACGUCAAAUCAUCAUGCCCCUUACGUCUUGGGCUUCACGCAUGCUACAAUGGCCGGUACAAAGGGCUGCGAUCCCGUGAGGGGGAGCGAAUCCCAGAAAGCCGGUCUCAGUUCGGAUUGGGGUCUGCAACUCGACCCCACGAAGUCGGAGUCGCUAGUAAUCGCAGAUCAGCAACGCUGCGGUGAAUACGUUCCCGGGCCUUGUACACACCGCCCGUCAAGUCACGAAAGUCGGUAACACCCGAAGCCGGUGGCCCAACCCCUUGUGGGAGGGAGCUGUCGAAGGUGGGACUGGUGAUUGGGACUAAGUCGUAACAAGGUAACC
rnacentral:rRNA from 2 species